rnacentral:rRNA from 1 species
CAUUACCGAGUUAGGGUCUUAUAGGCCCGACCUCCAACCCUUUGUUUACUAUACCAUGUUGCUUUGGCGGGCCCGCCUUUCGAGGCCGCCGGGGGCUUUCAUACCCUUGGUCAGUGCCUGCCAGUAGCCUUAUUAAAUUCUUUUUAUAAUUAUGUUGUCUGAGUAUAAAUAUAAAUCGUUAAAACUUUCAACAACGGAUCUCUUGGUUCUGGCAUCGAUGAAGAACGCAGCGAAAUGCGAUAAGUAAUGCGAAUUGCAGAAUUCAGUGAGUCAUCGAAUCUUUGAACGCAUAUUGCGCCCUUUGGUAUUCCGAAGGGCAUGCCUGUUCGAGCGUCAUUAUCAACCAUCAAGCCUGGCUUGUCGUUGGACCUCUUUGCCAUUGAAAAUAUAUGGUAGGUCCGAAAGAUAAUGACGGCGUCGUGUUUGACCCUAAAUGCAACGAGCUUUUUAUAGCACGCAUUGAAGUGGUCGGCCGACCCAGUCUUUAACCAUCAUUUUUUCUAAGGUUGACCUCGGAUCAGGUAGGAAUACCC